rnacentral:rRNA from 1 species
CGUAGGUGGCAAGCGUUGUCCGGAUUUAUUGGGUUUAAAGGGUGCGUAGGCGGUCCUAUAAGUCAGUUGUGAAAUACGGCAGCUUAACUGUCGAGGUGCAAUUGAUACUGCAGGACUUGAGUACAGACGAGGUAGGCGGAAUUGACGGCGUAGCGGUGAAAUGCUUAGAUAUCGUCAAGAACACCGAUAGCGAAGGCAGCUUACUAGACUGUAACUGACGCUGAUGCACGAAAGUGUGGGGAUCAAACAGGAUUAGAUACCCUGGUAGUCCACACUGUAAACGAUGAUUACUCGAUGUUGGCGAUACACAGCCAGCGUCUUAGCAAAAGCGAUAAGUAAUCCACCUGGGGAGUACGCCGGCAACGGUG